CCUACGGGAGGCAGCAGUGGGGAAUAUUGGACAAUGGGCGAAAGCCUGAUCCAGCAAUGCCGCGUGAGUGAUGAAGGCCUUAGGGUUGUAAAGCUCUUUUACCAGGGAUGAUAAUGACAGUACCUGGAGAAUAAGCUCCGGCUAACUCCGUGCCAGCAGCCGCGGUAAUACGGAGGGAGCUAGCGUUGUUCGGAAUUACUGGGCGUAAAGCGUGCGUAGGCGGUGAUUCAAGUCAGAGGUGAAAGCCUGGAGCUCAACUCCAGAACGGCCUUUGAAACUAGAUCGCUAGAAUUAUGGAGAGGUAAGUGGAAUUCCGAGUGUAGAGGUGAAAUUCGUAGAUAUUCGGAAGAACACCAGUGGCGAAGGCGACUUACUGGACAUAUAUUGACGCUGAGGUACGAAAGCGUGGGGAGCAAACAGGAUUAGAUACCCUGGUAGUCCGCGCCGUAAACGAUGAUAACUAGCUGUUCGGGCUCUCAGAGCUUGAGUGGCGCAGCUACGCAUUAAGUUAGUCCGCCGUGGGUAGGUACGGUCGGCGAGUAAGUUAAACUACGUUAAAGAAGUUAGUUACGGCGUGAGACGNGCCGACGGACGACGACGAGGGAGGAGG
rnacentral:rRNA from 1 species